UCCCUGGCGGCUCAGAUGGUAAAGAAUCUGCCUGUGAUGCAGGAGACCCAGGUUCGAUCCCUGGGUAGGGAA
rnacentral:tRNA from 1 species